UACGAAGGGAGCUAGCGUUGUUCGGAUUUACUGGGCGUAAAGGGCGCGUAGGCGGUUUGGCAAGUUGGAUGUGAAAGCCCUGGGCUCAACCCGGGAAUUGCAUUCAAAACUGCCUUACUUGAAUUCGGUAGAGGUUGGUAGAAUUCCCAGUGUAGAGGUGAAAUUCGUAGAGAUUGGGAAGAAUACCCGUGGCGAAGGCGGCCAACUGGACCGACAUUGACGCUGAGGCGCGACAGCGUGGGUAGCAAACAGG
rnacentral:rRNA from 1 species